UACAGAGGGUGCGAGCGUUGUUCGGAAUUAUUGGGCGUAAAGGGCGCGUAGGCGGUGCGGUAAGUCACCUGUGAAAUCUCCUGGCUCAACUCGGAGCCUGCAGGAGAAACUGCCGUGCUUGAGUAUGGGAGAGGUGAGUGGAAUUCCUGGUGUAGCGGUGAAAUGCGUAGAUAUCAGGAGGAACACCUGUGGCGAAAGCGGCUCACUGGACCAUAACUGACGCUGAGGCACGAAAGCUAGGGGGAGCAAACAGG
rnacentral:rRNA from 1 species